AAGUCGUAACAAGGUAACCGUAGGUGAACCUGCGGUUGGAUCAUUACAAAAAUUUGUAUUUGGCGCGUGCGUUACUGCCGCAUCAAAUUCAUAUACCACUUGUGCACUGUUACACGUAUUUGGCAAAUUUUGCUGUUAAAAGCAGUUUGCCAGUUUAUCAAACUUUUGUAUUAUCAGUCUGAUAUAUAAAAAAAUGUAAAUAAAGAAACAA
rnacentral:misc_RNA from 1 species